rnacentral:rRNA from 1 species
CCUACGGGUGGCAGCAGUGAGGAAUAUUGGUCAAUGGGCGCGAGCCUGAACCAGCCAAGUAGCGUGAAGGAUGACUGCCCUACGGGUUGUAAACCUCUUUUAUCAGGGAAUAACGUGCGCCACGUGUGCCUCUUUGUAUGUUCUUUAUGAAUAAGGCUCGGCUAACUCCGUGCCCGCAGCCGCGGUAAUUCGGUGAUCCGAGCGUUAUCCGCGUUUUUUUGGUUUAAAGGGAGCGUAGAGGGGUUGUUAAAUCAGGUGUGAAAGUUUGCGGGUCAACCGGAAAAUUGCAAUUGAUACUGGCAGCCUUGAGUACAGUAGAGGUAGGCGGAAUGCGUGGUGUAGCGGUGAAAUGCUUAGAUAUCACGAAGAACUCCGAUUGCGAAGGCAGCUUACUAAACUGCCACUGACAUUGAUGCUCGAAAGUGUGGGUAUCAAACAGGAUUAGAUACCCGGGUAGUC